rnacentral:lncRNA from 1 species
CUUCUGGGAGUUGUAGUCUAGUUCCCCCUCGUCUUUGGGGGCUCUUACAUGGUAUUUGACGGGUCGGGCUCGGAUGUGCGCAUUUCCGGACCUUAAGUUGUAUCUAUUGCGCCGGGGGACUGGGCACUCCCAUACCUCGCUGAGCUCGCCUGGUCRGAGCCCACCGUCCCCUGAAGGUGCGUGCACGGACCACUUGGACUCCGUGUCUUGGCCAAGGCUUAGGGCCAGACUUCAGGCUCCCUCCUUCCUGCACCGGCCCGUUUCUUCUCCUCCAGAGAGGUUCAGAGGCCGAAGCUGAGCCUCCCACAGAAGGUGCCUCCUUGCCUAGGACUUCAGGGAAGGAUCAUGUCCCAGGUGAGUGUGGCAUUUCUUGGGACUGGGCUUCAUUUCACCAGGGAUUUCAGGAUCUUGAAGAAUGCACCCAAUCAAAAAAGAACGCAGCAGAAGCCAGGAUCUGUGAGAAUAGGAAGCGAAUGAUCGCUCAAGGCCCUGGGGAGAGCAGGGGAGAUACACUGCAAAGGUUGUCAGCGUGACAUGGCAUCCUGUCAAUGUACAUUGACAUUUCUGUAACAUUAUUAAAAAGGCUGAC